rnacentral:rRNA from 1 species
GGUUAAGUUAGAAAGGGCGCACGGUGGAUGCCUUGGCACUAGGAGCCGAAGAAGGACGGGACUAACACCGAUAUGCUUUGGGGAGCUGUACGUAAGCGUUGAUCCAGAGAUUUCCGAAUGGGGGAACCCACUAUCUUUAGUCGGAUAGUAUCCUUACGUGAAUACAUAGCGUGAGGAAGGCAGACCCAGGGAACUGAAACAUCUAAGUACCUGGAGGAAGAGAAAGAAAAAUCGAUUUCCUGAGUAGCGGCGAGCGAAACGGAAAGAGCCCAAACCAAGAAGCUUGCUUCUUGGGGUUGUAGGACACUCUAUACGGAGUUACAAAAGAAAGUUAUAAAUGAAGCGGUCUGGAAAGGCCCGCCAAAGACGGUAACAGCCCGGUAGUUGAAAUGGCUUUCCCUCCAGAGUGGAUCCUGAGUACGGCGGAACACGUGAAAUUCCGUCGGAAUCCGGGAGGACCAUCUCCCAAGGCUAAAUACUCCCUAGUGACCGAUAGUGAACCAGUACCGUGAGGGAAAGGUGAAAAGCACCCCGGAAGGGGAGUGAAACAGUUCCUGAAACCGUGUGCCUACAAGUAGUUAGAGCCC